UUCGGUAAGCAUGAGGGUCGCAUUCUUAUUUGUGGAUGGGAACCAUGUUUCAUUUAGUGGAAAUGGUUAGUGCAAUGCAUCUUGGGACUUGGAACUCAUGCUCGGCAUAGAUGCUUAUAAAUGUCAUUAAGUGGCACUAGAUUCGAGAGAUGUAAGGUAUACUAAGCUAAUGUCAUAAAGGGGCAUUAGCCUUGAAUGAUAUGUGAAUUGCAUGUGCAUGUUAACAUUAUGAGAACUAUGCUAAGUUGAUAGUUGCAUACGGACGCAUUAAAACCUUAUGCUAGUGGAUAGAUGCAUGUUAACAUUUAUAUGCAUUGUGGAAUACAUGAUAGGAACAUAUUAGCAAUGUGGGAUCACGCUAGGGGGCAUGCGUAUUAACCUAUUAUAUGAUAUGGUAAGCUAAUGUCAUAAAGAGACAUCGGGCUUGGAUUUGACAUAGUAAGCUAAUGUCAUAAAAAGGCAUUAGGCUUAGAAUACAUAUGGACUUAGUAAGCCAAGGUCAAUGACAUGUGAAUUUGGGAGCUAAUGUCAUAAAGCGGCAUUGAGCUUGGGUUAUGGUGAACCUAGUGGAUAGGGCCAUUGAGAGAUUCAGAAUUAGAACAUGCUUGAACAUAGAAAUGUCUUAGCGUCAUAAAGGGGCACUAGACCUAGUGAAUGUUGGAAUUUCACAUUGAGUUAUAGAACUAGAUCAUUGGAUGCUAGUGGCUAUUACCAUGUUAGAGACAUGAUGAUUGGACUCUUGAGAUGUUGACUACGCUUGCUUGCCAUUUGUGCUCAUUCGCACAUGCUUGUGAGGGUCGCUCCCUAUAAGCCGGCACUCCGAAGUUGGCCUGCACGACUUAUGCUCGCUCGUGCGGUAUCGAGAAGCCUACGGGGUCGGGAGGGAUAGACUCAUUCCUAGAGUGGGAAUGUUGGAGCUACCACCGGCACUUAGGCGGCACAAGCCGGACUACACUUGUGUAGGUCCUAAAUGAGAUUAAACCAGAAUAUUAAACAACAAGUUGAUAAUCACUACUAGACAGGUUAUAGUAGUUGGAUUCGGGACAUGCUAUCGCAUACGGUUGAACUUUUGGAUAUAUAGUAUAC
rnacentral:lncRNA from 1 species